rnacentral:rRNA from 1 species
GAUGAACGCUAGCUACAGGCUUAACACAUGCAAGUCGAGGGGAAACGGCAUUAAGUGCUUGCACUUUUUGGACGUCGACCGGCGCACGGGUGAGUAACGCGUAUCCAACCUUCCCAUGACUAAGGGAUAACCUGCCGAAAGGCAGACUAAUACCUUAUGGUCUUCACUGACGGCAUCAGAUGUGAAGUAAAGAUUUAUCGGUUAUGGAUGGGGAUGCGUCUGAUUAGCUUGUUGGCGGGGUAACGGCCCACCAAGGCAACGAUCAGUAGGGGUUCUGAGAGGAAGGUCCCCCACAUUGGAACUGAGACACGGUCCAAACUCCUACGGGAGGCAGCAGUGAGGAAUAUUGGUCAAUGGGCGAGAGCCUGAACCAGCCAAGUAGCGUGCAGGAUGACGGCCCUAUGGGUUGUAAACUGCUUUUGUAUGGGGAUAAAGUCAAUCACGUGUGAUUGUUUGCAGGUACCAUACGAAUAAGGACCGGCUAAUUCCGUGCCAGCAGCCGCGGUAAUACGGAAGGUCCGGGCGUUAUCCGGAUUUAUUGGGUUUAAAGGGAGCGUAGGCUGGAGAUUAAGUGUGUUGUGAAAUGUAGACGCUCAACGUCUGACUUGCAGCGCAUACUGGUUUCCUUGAGUACGCACAACGUUGGCGGAAUUCGUCGUGUAGCGGUGAAAUGCUUAGAUAUGACGAAGAACUCCGAUUGCGAAGGCAGCUGACGGGAGCGCAACUGACGCUGAAGCUCGAAGGUGCGGGUAUCGAACAGG